rnacentral:sRNA from 2 species
AAUAAUGCGGUCUGUCAGAGUAAACUUUGAGCCGUAAACAAAUUCAAACCCUUCCUCGUCGGGCCUAACGACGCGGGAGGGUUUUUUUA